GUCGAGGCAAUGAUGAUCAAAAUCUAUCUAUUUCAAGAGGAGAUUUCUCUCCCUGAUUACAAAAUCACCAAUGGAUCCUUCAGAGCAUUCAA